AACGCAUCUUGCGCUCCUUGGUAUUCCGAGGAGCAUGCCUGUUUUAGUGUCAUUAAUAUCUCAACCAUAUCCCAUGGGUUGGGUAUGGCUUGGACGUGGGGGUUACAGGCUCUAUAAUGGUGGUCUGCUCCCCUGAAACACAUGAGUGGCGAAAAGAAAGCCUCCGUUUAAGGUGUGAUACUUAUCUGCAUCUAAUCGAAGGGUCACUAUAUAUAUAUGGGACAUGUUUGACUUCUUGACCUCAAAUCAGGUAGGACCACCCGCUGAACUUAA
rnacentral:misc_RNA from 1 species